AACGUAGGGGGCUAGCGUUGCCCGGAUUCACUGGGCGUAAAGCGGGUGUAGGCGGUUCUUUAAGUCGGAUGUGAAAUCCAGCGGCCCAACCGCUGAAUUGCAUCCGAUACUGGGGAACUUGAGGACGGUAGAGGUCGGUGGAAUAUCCGGUGUACCGGUGAAAUGGACAGAUAUCGGAUGGAACACCAGUGGCGAAGGCGGCUACCUGGACCGGUUCUGACGCUGAGGAGCGAAAGCGUGGGGAGCGAACAGG
rnacentral:rRNA from 1 species